rnacentral:rRNA from 1 species
UACGAAGGGGGGCGAGCGUUGUUCGGAAUCACUGGGCGUAAAGAGCUUGUAGGCGGUUUGUCGCGUCUGCCGUGAAAAUUCGAGGCUCAACCUCGAACUUGCGGUGGGUACGGGCAGACUAGAGUGUGGUAGGGGAGACUGGAAUUCCUGGUGUAGCGGUGAAAUGCGCAGAUAUCAGGAGGAACACCGAUGGCGAAGGCAGGUCUCUGGGCCACUACUGACGCUGAGGAGCGAAAGCGUGGGGAGCGAACAGG